AUGCAGAUUCAUCCUGUUACAAGGGUAUAACCCACUGGGUAAAGAAGAGAAUCAAGAAGGAAGAAUUUGUGUGCUCUCUCUGUGAGGAAUGGAAGCUAGGUUAUGAGACAAAUCACCGGUGCUUGGCAAAAGAUAAGAUGAUUCCCAGCAAGUGAUCGACAACCUUCUUUGACCGAUCAUUUUCUUUAUUAUCAUCAUGCAACUGAAAGACUGAAAUUGCAGUGGCAUGCAUACUGUCAUUUUGUUAGUAGUGCAAAAGGCAAGAAACAAAUGCACCCAGAGAAUGUUUGACAAUGGUUGGUGCUCCUUGUUUUUUUCUCUUGUUGAUUGGUGCUCUUUUCAAAUCCACUCCAAAAUGUUUAUUAAUUUUUGGGAUGUUAGUUAAUGUGUAGCUCCUGCCAUUGUUCUCUUUAUGUUUGAUGAAGAAUGUGGUUGUCCUUUGGCUGGCAACAUUUCACUUUAGAUUCAAAAGACAGAUUAUGUAUAUUUGAGUUUUGGCUAAAUUUCAGACAAGAGUAGUAUGAUGGUAAUUUUAGUUUCUUUA